rnacentral:rRNA from 1 species
GACGAACGCUGGCGGCGUGCCUAAUACAUGCAAGUAGAACGCACAGUUUAUACCGUAGCUUGCUACACCAUAGACUGUGAGUUGCGAACGGGUGAGUAACGCGUAGGUAACCUGCCUGGUAGCGGGGGAUAACUAUUGGAAACGAUAGCUAAUACCGCAUAAUAUUAAUUAUUGCAUGAUAAUUAAUUGAAAGGUGCAAUUGCACCACUACCAGAUGGACCUGCGUUGUAUUAGCUAGUAGGUGAGGUAACGGCUCACCUAGGCGACGAUACAUAGCCGACCUGAGAGGGUGAUCGGCCACACUGGGACUGAGACACGGCCCAGACUCCUACGGGAGGCAGCAGUAGGGAAUCUUCGGCAAUGGACGAAAGUCUGACCGAGCAACGCCGCGUGAGUGAAGAAGGUUUUCGGAUCGUAAAGCUCUGUUGUAAGAGAAGAACGGGUGUGAGAGUGGAAAGUUCACACUGUGACGGUAUCUUACCAGAAAGGGACGGCUAACUACGUGCCAGCAGCCGCGGUAAUACGUAGGUCCCGAGCGUUGUCCGGAUUUAUUGGGCGUAAAGCGAGCGCAGGCGGUUAGAUAAGUCUGAAGUUAAAGGCUGUGGCUUAACCAUAGUACGCUUUGGAAACUGUUUAACUUGAGUGCAGAAGGGGAGAGUGGAAUUCCAUGUGUAGCGGUGAAAUGCGUAGAUAUAUGGAGGAACACCGGUGGCGAAAGCGGCUCUCUGGUCUGUAACUGACGCUGAGGCUCGAAAGCGUGGGGAGCGAACAGG